UCUAAGUUUGAUGGCGACCGGCGCACGGGUGAGUAACACGUAUCCAACCUGCCGAUGACUCGGGGAUAGCCUUUCGAAAGAAAGAUUAAUACCCGAUGGCAUAGUUCUUCCGCAUGGUGGAACUAUUAAAGAAUUUCGGUCAUCGAUGGGGAGUGCGUUCCAUUAGGUUGUUGGCGGGGUAACGGGCCCACCAAGCCUUCGAUGGAUAGGGGUUCUGAGAGGAAGGUCCCCCACAUUGGAACUGAGACACGGUCCAAACUCCUACGGGAGGCAGCAUG
rnacentral:rRNA from 1 species